AAAUAAAUACUUCCAUGCUCAAGAUAACAAAGAGGAAUGUUUACUGAAUUAUUAGAAAAGGUUGUGUUGAUAUACAAAGAAAAAAAUGGUACGAGGUAAAAACUGGUGUCACUGGGCAUGCGCGGGAGCAGCAGGAGUGACGUGUCUGGUACCAGGUGCAUGUUCCUCGUCCCUGUCCAUUUUUCUCCCGCUGGCCGUUGUGCUGCAUUGAUGCCUCGCCACGUGGAGCCUCGUUGUGCUGGAGGUAAAGGACGAAUUUCAGGUAGAAGUUUAGAUGACACUCAUAAAUGAAAGCUGCAUUACUCUGAGUUGAUGGAGUACCUUGCCAAGAGAGACGAGAAGUGGCAGUGUUUACAAAUUGCCGUGCCGUGACUCAGAUCAGUUGGAAACUAAUCUACUAUAACAUGAAGUGAAGAGUGACCUGCUUAAAUGGCUGCUAACCAGGAGCUUCAUAGAGACAAGCUGUAUCACAUUCACUAAAGCAAGCAACAUCUCCAUACUGUAUAAGGCUAUCAUCUGAGGUUUCUCCCAUCUGAUACAAAAAGACCAGAGAUUAACAUUAAAGGCUUGUGACGGGGCAAGAAAAUGCAUCACCUGCACUACCUGUAUGGGUGUGAUGACUCACCAAGCCUCUUCAAUUUCCCCACAUCAUUGUACCAGUACCCUCCCUAACUCACUACUACUGAAGAUGAAAGCAGACUCAAAAUGGAUUAAAGGCCUUGAAACUGCCUAAAAAAUCUUACCAGUGUCCCUGAAAUAGCCUGUAAAAUUGUAUUUAGUGGUCCAGAAAUGGUCUUAAAAAAACUGUACUAAGUCAGAAAUACUUGAAAGACUGUCUGGAGCUUUUGUAGUGAGUGAUUUGAUAAAGAUUGUUGUGGGAGAUAAUACUUUGUUUUCUUAUUUAAUAAUUGUUGCACACUAUACCACAAAGUCUCUGGAAGUCUUUAGAGUAUGACUUGGUACAUUUUUGGGGUAACUUCAUUACACUUUUUGUACAGUUCUUUUGAAUAGAGUUACAGUCAUCAGUGGUAGAGGGUGGGCAGGAUAUUGGUGCACCCUAAAAUCUGUGUAGUUCAGCCCACAAUUUCUUCAGUGAUGAUCUAGAGCAGGAUGUCAUAGGCAGGCAAGUUAGUCCAACCAGCAUUGGCUCUGAAGACUCCCCACUCCUCAAGUUGGAGCCAUGACAGAUGGUAGUGGUGGCACUUCAAGCACCUCUUCUGUUGUGGACUCCUGAAGCUUACUCAUUUUGGGACUGCCAUACCUCAUUGGUUCUUGCAAACUGGAAAAGGGAAAAUCAUUGAGAUAAAAUUCUUACUGUUAAAAAGAAAUUCUCAGUCUAACACCAAAUUAAGGCAGAAAGUGAUACAUUUAGUUUAUAAUGUACCUACUAUAUCAGAAUAAUAGUUCCUUUCAUACCAACAAGUAGUGUAUUUCAGUUUUAGCAGUUGGUGAAAACAAACAAGAUGGCCCAGAAUCACUCCAGAGACAGGCCCUUGGAUAUGCAACUCUUGUAGAGGACAAAGAAAAGAAGCAGAAAGAAAGCCUGAGAGCAAGCAAUGAGGAUGGCUAGGCAGGCUGGGUGGUGUUCUAAGCCAGCCUGAUAGUAUCCAUACCACUCCACUCGCCCUUUUCCACCUAGGGAGGCAGUGCACCACAUCUCGAGCAGGCUUUUGGAGGUUCAGCAUUGCACUGCACACUGCUUUCAUAAAUGUGUGUGCAGGCGUUAGACAGAGUAGUUGCAAGGAUGGAGGAUGCUUCAACGUUCACAGCAUCAUGGGUUCAUACUUUCUAUUUUUGUGGAAAGUAAUGCACACAGUUUUAACCAAAGGAUUAUAUGUCAUCAUUCAUAUACAUAGAUUUCAUGACUUUAACAUUGUGUUGACCUUUGUGCACCAAAUCACUUCAUUACAUUUAAGCAUAUAAUUAGCUUCAAGGAGUAACGGUUUAUCAAAAUUGUAAUGCAUUACGAAGAUUUGUUUAAAGGUGUUUGUUUAUGAGCAUGAUCUAGUUGUGCCAGUCUUAACAGUCCAGAUUGUACAGACAUGAACCAUUGUCCAUUGCACUUCCUGAAGAUGGAAUUUCUUUCAACAUCACAAGGAGUGUGUGUGUGCAGCUUUGUGGGCAAGUGUGCUAAUCAUUCCUUGAUGUCAAUGUCUUUCAUGUAGGGAAAAAAUGUGUGUAAUUAGGUUUUAUAUACAUUUUUGAGUGAGAAUAUUUAGACUGAUUAAGUUUGCCAACUUUCUAGAGCUUUGCUGUUACAUUUCUUUCUUUGCAAGAUUUCAGGGGUCGUAUCCUACAAACUGUCAUAGCUAAUGAAGUGAUAGUAGCGAGACAAAAUAGUGCAUUUUAGACACUAGUCUCUCUAUGACCUUGUGACUUGUCAUAAGUGCCAAGGCAGGGUUCACCCUGUUAUAGCGCUGCCAACCACUGUCUUAAAACUUGUCAACAUGGUGGGACUUGGCUGUAAGUACCAUAGCAUGAUCCCAACAGUUUUUAUUAUUAAUUAAUGAUAGAUACCCAUAAUAGUGACUAAAUAAUGUCCUUAGUUGAUGCAGUAAUUUACCAUUAUAGGUAACUAUCGAGAGAGGUACAAUCAGUUUUCCCCAAACUCAAACAAACCCUGUGUGUUAUGCAUGUGUCAUGUAUCAUAUAUUGGGGAUAAUCUUCCCCUUUUUGUCAUGUUUCUUUUGUUUGUAUAGACAGUCUAACUAUUCCCAAAGUAGUAAUAUGAUGUCAAAAUAAUUGAAAUUGUAGAAAAUUGUCAAGUAGCUAUUUCUUUCUAUUCAUAUAUAAAGUUGACAAAUAAUGAGCCUAAAGACCAACAGUGGAGUGAAAGUGAGGCAUUCAGUGAGACCCAAGGCUAUCUGUGUAGAAUGCAGCCCCAGAAUGAUGGUGAAUAUAUAGUGUUGCAAGGGAUGUGUUGUUUGAGAGCAAUGCCACUGUGAAAGGUGAUAGUUCCUCCUCUCAAUAUACUACUCAUGUUGUUAUAUAUUAAUUUUGUUAUAUUAGAUUAAUGUAUGGAUACCAAUGACAAGUGGAAUGAGGUAGACAUGUUCAUACAGUGACUGCUGCUAUAUAUGUGCAGGCCUCAUGGACUCUUGCAAUUUUCCUCAUUUUUGUUUCUCUAAUACUUUUGAAAUAAUUGAGUUAAAAAUAUUCCCAGAGUAAAUGUUAUUCUUGAAAAAUUGCAUGUCAAAUUGUACAAAUUCUGCUGUUCCACUCAAAAUUAUUCUAAGUUGAAAAUUUUUGUAGAGUUUUUGGACAAAAUGUGAUGAUUGAAUGAAUAAAAGGGAAGGGAGACUC
rnacentral:lncRNA from 1 species